UGCGGGGUGGAGCAGAGGUAGCUCGUCAGGCUCAUAACCUGAAGGCCGUUGGUUCGAUUCCAACCCCCGCUACCA
rnacentral:tRNA from 1 species